rnacentral:rRNA from 1 species
UAAUACGGAGGGUGCAAGCGUUAAUCGGAAUUACUGGGCGUAAAGCGCACGCAGGCGGUUUGUUAAGUCAGAUGUGAAAUCCCCGGGCUCAACCUGGGAACUGCAUUUGAAACUGGCAAGCUAGAGUCUCGUAGAGGGGGGUAGAAUUCCAGGUGUAGCGGUGAAAUGCGUAGAGAUCUGGAGGAAUACCGGUGGCGAAGGCGGCCCCCUGGACGAAGACUGACGCUCAGGUGCGAAAGCGUGGGGAGCAAACAGGAUUAGAUACCCUGGUAGUCCACGCUGUAAACGAUGUCGAUUUGGAGGUUGUGCCCUUGAGGCGUGGCUUCCGGAGCUAACGCGUUAAAUCGACCGCCUGGGGAGUACGGCGCAAGGUU